rnacentral:rRNA from 1 species
GACGAACGCUGGCGGCGUGCUUAACACAUGCAAGUCGAACGAAGAGCGAUGGAAGCUUGCUUCUAUCAAUCUUAGUGGCGAACGGGUGAGUAACGCGUAAUCAACCUGCCCUUCAGAGGGGGACAACAGGUGGAAACGACUGCUAAUACCGCAUACGAUCUAAUCUCAGCAUCGAGGAUAGAUGAAAGGUGGUCUCUACAUGUAAGCUAUCACUGACGGAGGGGAAUGCGUCUGAUUAGCUAGUUGGGGGGGUAACGGCCCACCAAAGCGAUGAUCAGUAGCCCGUCUUGGAGGCGGAACGGCCCCCAUGGGACUUGGACACGGCCCCACCCCCUUAGGGGGGCAACCGGGGGGAAUCUUUCGCCAUGGAGGGAAGGCUGACCGGGCAACGCCGCGGGAGGGAUGACGGCCUUCGGGUUGUAAAGCUCUGUUAAUCGGGACGAAAGGCCUUCUUGCGAAUAGUGGGACGUAUUGACGGUACCUGAAUAGAAAGCCACGGCUAACUACGUG